UACAGAGGUCCCAAGCGUUGUUCGGAUUCACUGGGCGUAAAGGGUGCGCAGGUGGGUUGGCAAGUUCGAUGUGAAAGCCCCGGGCUUAACCCGGGAAUGGCAUUGGAAACUGCUGAUCUGGAGGAUCGGAGGGGGACUGGAAUUCUUGGUGUAGCAGUGAAAUGCGUAGAUAUCAAGAGGAACACCAGUGGCGAAGGCGAGUCCCUGGACGAUACCUGACACUGAGGCACGAAAGCCAAGGGAG
rnacentral:rRNA from 1 species